UCGGGGUGCACCAGGCGCGAAAACUUUACAAUGCUGGCAACAGCGAUAAGGGGACCUCGAGUGCCAGGAUACAAUCUUGGCUGUCGCGAUGCCUAAAAAGCAUUGCAUAGCAAGGGCCGGGCAAGACCGGUGCCAGCCGCCGCGGUAACACCGGCGGCUCGAGUGGUAACCGCUAUUAUUGGGUCUAAAGGGUCUGUAGCCGGCCGGAUAAGUCUUUUGGGAAAUCCAGCUGCUCAACAGUUGGGCUUUCAGAAGAUACUGUUCGGCUCGAGACCGGGAGAGGUGAGAGGUACUUCAGGGGUAGGGGUGAAAUCUUGUAAUCCUUGAAGGACCACCAGUGGCGAAGGCGUCUCACCAGAACGGAUCUGACGGCAAGGGACGAAAGCUAGGGGCACGAACCGGAUUAGAUACCCGGGUAGUCCUAGCCGUAAACGAUACUCGCUAGGUGUCAGCCACGGUGCGACCGUGGUUGGUGCCGUAGGGAAGCCGUGAAGCGAGCCACCUGGGAAGUACGGCCGCAAGGCUGAAACUUAAAGGAAUUGGCGGGGGAGCA
rnacentral:rRNA from 1 species